AGCCUUGAGGCUUCUAUAAAAGGAGCCUCAAGGCUCCAAGUUCAGCACAAAGCCCCAUCAGUUCGGUGGGCGAGCAGCCAAUCUGGCUCUUGCAUUUGCGGAGCCGGAUACGGCUAGGCUCCAUAGUUAUAAAAUUUUUUAAAUGCUGUCUCGUACACCUUCACAUGCGGCGACAUUGGCGGCGGCGGCGACAUUGGCGGCGUCUUCACUUCAGGUGAAUUGUUAUGAAUUUUUUCUUGAUCAACAUGUGUGCUUUGAUCAUUUAAUUGUUCCAGUUGUUUAGAUGUAUGGGUUUGCUUGUUUUGAGACAUUUAAUAAUUGUUUCCACUUGUUUUGAUGUAGUGAAUUUGCCUAUUUUGAAACAUUCUGCCUAACUUAAGGUGUAUUCUUAUUGAUUCUUCUUGAUGGGACUUUAAGUUCUUUGAUCA